rnacentral:ncRNA from 1 species
AUAAAUCCUUUGAAGAGGGAUAGUAACCAGGUGCAAGGUUAAAGAGAGCUGAUGAUGGUGGAAUAUCGGUACUGUAGCUAAUGGUGAAUGGGCCUUUGAGGAGCAAGAUGAAAUCUUUGGAGAGAGUAGUUAAGCCGUGGGUUGCACGUUACAGCAAAUAGAGUAUAUUAGUACUUGAAAGUAGAGAGGUGUUAUACACAAUUUAGGUGGUACCGCGGAACAUAUCCGUCCUAUUA